GCCAGAGUGUUUGCCUACAGUGGCAGAAACCUGAAUCUUUUGGUUAUCUUCGUUGAACUCGGACUUCGGUUCCAGAGGUUUCUGGAUGAUCAAGAUUACCUACGUAUAGUGGAUUUUGUUUGAAUUUCGUUUCCAAGGACCAAGCUGGCAGCUUCCUGUUUUCCUCCGUCUCCUGAACCAAGGCAUAAGCGUACCCUGUCCACCCUCCAACGCAAGUACCUGAACAUUGAACUAACUCCUGACUUCACCAAAGCUCAUUGAACAGCACAUGAGAAACCAUCUGGAUUACUACACUUCGUAAACCACUUCGAAUCCCUCUACCCCUGGCGACCUGACUGCACUUACUUAUUGGCGAUUCUACCUUUGACGUUCCAGUCUCACUUUUUGUAAAUCACCUCUCACUGAUUCAGUUGUCCUUCAGAGUGUUCUUCUGUAUGUGGGUCAGAUCUAUUAUGAAAACAAUGACACAAAGUCAGAGCAUCCAAACUGGCAGAUUUCAUACAUUUACUUGAGACUUGACUCGGGACUUGGGUGGAAAGAUUUGGAACUUACUUGUGACUUGUUAAACCAUGACCUGGUCCCACCUCUGCAAAAACCUGUUUCUGGAAUCCUUGGCUUCAACAAAAGCCAUAAAGUGUUAGCAAUAACUGGUCAAUUCUUUUACAUCACUGUUUUACAUCACCUUGGAGGAAUUUUGUCCCACUAUUUAAUCCAGAAUUACUAUCAUUCUGCCACAUUGAAGGGCUUUUGAGCAUGAACAGGCUGUUUAAGUCACGCCACAGCAUCUUAGUCAGAUUUAAGUACAGACUUUGACUUGGCCAGUUUUGUGAAAUUCAGAGGUAGAUUUGCAGGUGUGCUUUGGAUCCUUGUCCCAAUGCAUAACCCAAAUGUCCUUGGGUUUACAGCCAUAAGCUAAGGGCAGGUUAUUCUCCUUCAGGAUUUUCUGCUGGAUAAACAAUUCAUGGUUCUAUCGAUUACGGUAAGUUAUCCAGGUUCUAAAAAAGCAAAUCAACCCCAGACCAUCACUGUACCGCCACUAUGUCUGACUGUUUGUAUUGUGUUCUUUUCCUGAAAUGCUGUUUUACACCAGAUGCAACAGGACCCAUGCCUUCCAAAAAGUCUCACUUUUUGGCAAUUAUUGCACAGAAUAGUUUUCAAAAAUUCAUUAAAAACGUCAAUAUGUAUUUUGGAAAAUGUGGGACAGAGCCUUUUCUUGUUGAAACAUGAACAGAGUAAUUUAGGUAAGCUGGCCUCUCCUUUUGAAGGUUUCUCACUGAUCACUAUUUUCUUGUUUAAGCUUCAGACAUUUCUUUGCGACAUUUUAUAGACCGUUAAAUAUCAUUGACCUUUUGAGAUCUUUUAGCAAAUCUUAUGUUGUCAGACAGGUUCCAUUGAAAUGAUUUCUUGAAUCUUCAGGCAGGCACUAAUAAGGUAUAGGCGUGGUUAGUAAAACUGAAGCUAAAAAUCAUUUGGAUAGCCCUUUUCCUUAAGAAAUAUAUCCAUAAUUUCAAAAUGGCCUUGUUUCAUUUCUUUAGGUUAUCUCAUUUUUUAAUUAAAAUGAUAAUCUAAAACAUAUUAGUGUGAAAACAACCAAACAGAGGAAAUUUGUUUUCACAGCCCUGUAUAUAAAUUUAUAUCUCUGGCCCUACACUGGAUUGGCCAUCUGUUCUUAAAAUGGGAAAACAGUAGCAUAUGCACUGAGCUUUGUCAAACUAACAAAAGAAGAGGCAGUGCUUGAGAAUUUGCUGCCUGUUUGCUAACAUGCAAAGAAGCAUCAGCUUUAUAAUAUGAGCCUGCUGUGUCAAGCCUUUGUGUGAAUGGAAUGUAUGGAGCCAGGAAUGUCAGCUUGUUUGACACCUUUACUCUUUGGCAUGUUAAAGCUUUGAAGACCAGUUGACCUGAACUUUCUUAUAGUGGUACGCAAAACAUGCUGUACACUGUUUGAGGUGGUCAUUAUCCUUUGUAGCCCCUAACAGGUCGAACAACACUGGCACAAUAAAUACUUCUUAUCUAGAUUGAUGGAGCAAAUAAUUUUCUUAGGUUUGCCACUGUUAUCAUUAUGCUUUAAACAUUUGCUUGCAUCUUGUGUUGUUUUUUCCAGGUCUAGACUUGACUCCAGGGAAUGAUAAUGAAUGACUUUCUACACUGAAAAAAGUGUAACAAACCUGUUGUCCAUUUAAUAUGAUUUUUCUCUUUCCAGUAGUUGAAGAACAUGACUUUCCUCAAAUAAACUAAACAUUUUAAGUUA